ensembl:lncRNA uncharacterized LOC112912590
AAGGGAGAAGAGGGUGUUCUCUGCUUUCUACAGUUAUGGAGUCCCUGUGGGGCCGCUGUUUCCCCUCCCAGGCUCUAAUGCUCAGGAUCCCCCUGCUCCUGGCACCUGUGUCAUGCCGAAAAGCUACUGGCGGUCCCUGUGAUGUGCCAGAGACUGGGGACCAUUUCCCACGUUGACUCCGUGUCCCUGGUCAUUCCCUGUCUGGGCUGGAAGCCCAGGGACGACCCCAUCAUGCAGAAGUUCCUGCGCAGACAUUCCUUUUGUUCCACUUGCAGCAGUGAGACCAUGGAAGCGUCCAGAGGGCAGGUUCCCACAGACGUGGGUCAGCAUGAAAGUGGGGACGAUGCCGCGCUGGUGGGGAGGUGGGCUGGUGACAGGGAACAAGGACGUGCUCAGAAGGCCGGGAAGGAAGCAGGUGGGAAGCACCUCCAGAGCUCAGGUGCAGCAGGGCUGGAGGAGCCGAGGUCUGGUCCCCCUGCCCCACUGGUGUCUGCUGUUGGCAAGAGUGAACUGUGCUCUGUCACUGUCCCUCUGCUCCACCCCAGCCUCUGGGAACGUGAUGACAUUUGUGUUUCUCUGCCGGGAAUAGCUGCCUUCACCCCAGUUUCCUUGCCCAUCUGAGUCCACUUCCUCCUCUGCCCACAGAUGCUGGGGUUUCCUGAUCCGGGUCAGGGAGCCUGUGGUGAGCCAUCAGGGAGCCCUGCUGGGGCUCUCUGGGAGAUGCAGGUACAUCCAGGCUCUACCCCCGUGUCCCCAGAGCACUGCCCGUGUUGUGCCGGCACAGCAUCUGUCCCCAGUGUCAGAGAGCCGGGAGCGGGCCAGCGAGAGGAGGGCCCCGGGAGCCCCCUGUCCUCCAGCAGCCCCACAUGUGUGCUCUGGGCUGCCCUCCACCCCGGGGGCUGGCCGUGCCCGGACCAGGAGGGCCCAGUGUCCCUGCCUCAGCCAUGGGGACGGCACCUCUCCUGCCACCACAGCCAGGCUGCUGGGAGUCCCCUGAGCUGGGAGAGGACAGAGGCGCAGCUGGGGCCAGCUAUUCCCUCACCAAGCUUCCAGGCUAUGGCCGACCCCAGCUCCUCCCACACCCUGGAAAGGACCGUUGGGGACUCUGUCCAGCUGCACCUGAUCUCCUCCUUGUCCCCUAAUGUCCGAGAGGUUGAGUGGAGUUGGCAAUCUGAGUCCGAGAAACAACAGUUCCUGGUGUCCUGGAAGCCUGAUGACUCUGGUCCUGACUGGUAUGAGCUUGAAGGAAAAUUCAGGAGCAGUCUCUCCCUGACAGAGAUGGCAGUUUUGAGCAUCAGGAAUCUCAGUACGGAAAUGAGUGGAUGGUAUACAGCAAAUGUCAAAUUCCGCACAGGAAAAUCCCAGAAGGAGGUCUUUAGACUCUGUGUAUAUGAGCCCAUCCCCCACCCCCAGAUUGUGAUUCAUUCACCAAUCAACCCAGCAGGCUGGUGCCAGGUCAGCCUGGAGUGUGAGACCCCAGGAUCUACAGAGAACUGGACAGUGACCUGGCUGACUGAGGGCCUCCCCAGGGAGCUGGAGCAGAGCGGGGCUCUGAGGCCAGCCCCCAGCUCCAGGAAUGUAAACCUGCGCCUGCCCCUGAGCCAGGUGAAUGGCUACCUCACCUGUUUGGUCAGCAACCCUGUGGAGGAGAAGAAUGCCACCUUGCCCCUGCAGAGCAUCUGUCUGGUCAGGGACAUGACCUUUCUGAGGGUGGUUACCACCUCUGAGUGCAUAAACCACAGUUCAACGCUCCUCGGAGCAGUGUGAGCACCUGCGGUCACCGCAGUCAGCUACCACACUUCCAGGUCUGCUUCAGGGGUCCCCUUGGCCAUAUAGGAAGGGAGUAUACACAGUAGUACAUGAUAGAUAAGGGAGGAGCCCUGACUGAUUUCUUAAAAUGCCAAGAACCGCAGAACAGGAACAGUGUACUCAAAGAAGGAGGUUAAU